UUAAGCGACUAAGCGUACACGGUGGAUGCCCUGGCAGUCAGAGGCGAUGAAGGACGUGCUAAUCUGCGAUAAGCGUCGGUGAGGUGAUAUGAACCGUUAUAACCGGCGAUUUCCGAAUGGGGAAACCCAGUGUGUUUCGACACACUAUCAUUAACUGAAUCCAUAGGUUAAUGAGGCAAACCGGGGGAACUGAAACAUCUAAGUACCCCGAGGAAAAGAAAUCAACCGAGAUUCCCCCAGUAGCGGCGAGCGAACGGGGAGGAGCCCAGAGCCUGAAUCAGUGUGUGUGUUAGUGGAAGCGUCUGGAAAGGCGCGCGAUACAGGGUGACAGCCCCGUACACAAAAAUGCACAUAUUGUGAGCUCGAUGAGUAGGGCGGGACACGUGGUAUCCUGUCUGAAUAUGGGGGGACCAUCCUCCAAGGCUAAAUACUCCUGACUGACCGAUAGUGAACCAGUACCGUGAGGGAAAGGCGAAAAGAACCCCGGCGAGGGGAGUGAAAAAGAACCUGAAACCGUGUACGUACAAGCAGUGGGAGCCUCUUAAUGGGGUGACUGCGUACCUUUUGUAUAAUGGGUCAGCGACUUAUAUUCUGUAGCAAGGUUAACCGAAUAGGGGAGCCGAAGGGAAACCGAGUCUUAACUGGGCGUUAAGUUGCAGGGUAUAGACCCGAAACCCGGUGAUCUAGCCAUGGGCAGGUUGAAGGUUGGGUAACACUAACUGGAGGACCGAACCGACUAAUGUUGAAAAAUUAGCGGAUGACUUGUGGCUGGGGGUGAAAGGCCAAUCAAACCGGGAGAUAGCUGGUUCUCCCCGAAAGCUAUUUAGGUAGCGCCUCGUGAAUUCAUCUCCGGGGGUAGAGCACUGUUUCGGCAAGGGGGUCAUCCCGACUUACCAACCCGAUGCAAACUGCGAAUACCGGAGAAUGUUAUCACGGGAGACACACGGCGGGUGCUAACGUCCGUCGUGAAGAGGGAAACAACCCAGACCGCCAGCUAAGGUCCCAAAGUCAUGGUUAAGUGGGAAACGAUGUGGGAAGGCCCAGACAGCCAGGAUGUUGGCUUAGAAGCAGCCAUCAUUUAAAGAAAGCGUAAUAGCUCACUGGUCGAGUCGGCCUGCGCGGAAGAUGUAACGGGGCUAAACCAUGCACCGAAGCUGCGGCAGCGACACUAUGUGUUGUUGGGUAGGGGAGCGUUCUGUAAGCCUGUGAAGGUGGCCUGUGAGGGUUGCUGGAGGUAUCAGAAGUGCGAAUGCUGACAUAAGUAACGAUAAAGCGGGUGAAAAGCCCGCUCGCCGGAAGACCAAGGGUUCCUGUCCAACGUUAAUCGGGGCAGGGUGAGUCGACCCCUAAGGCGAGGCCGAAAGGCGUAGUCGAUGGGAAACAGGUUAAUAUUCCUGUACUUGGUGUUACUGCGAAGGGGGGACGGAGAAGGCUAUGUUGGCCGGGCGACGGUUGUCCCGGUUUAAGCGUGUAGGCUGGUUUUCCAGGCAAAUCCGGAAAACCAAGGCUGAGGCGUGAUGACGAGGCACUACGGUGCUGAAGCGACAAAUGCCCUGCUUCCAGGAAAAGCCUCUAAGCAUCAGGUAACAUCAAAUCGUACCCCAAACCGACACAGGUGGUCAGGUAGAGAAUACCAAGGCGCUUGAGAGAACUCGGGUGAAGGAACUAGGCAAAAUGGUGCCGUAACUUCGGGAGAAGGCACGCUGAUAUGUAGGUGAAGCGACUUGCUCGUGGAGCUGAAAUCAGUCGAAGAUACCAGCUGGCUGCAACUGUUUAUUAAAAACACAGCACUGUGCAAACACGAAAGUGGACGUAUACGGUGUGACGCCUGCCCGGUGCCGGAAGGUUAAUUGAUGGGGUUAGCGGUAACGCGAAGCUCUUGAUCGAAGCCCCGGUAAACGGCGGCCGUAACUAUAACGGUCCUAAGGUAGCGAAAUUCCUUGUCGGGUAAGUUCCGACCUGCACGAAUGGCGUAAUGAUGGCCAGGCUGUCUCCACCCGAGACUCAGUGAAAUUGAACUCGCUGUGAAGAUGCAGUGUACCCGCGGCAAGACGGAAAGACCCCGUGAACCUUUACUAUAGCUUGACACUGAACAUUGAGCCUUGAUGUGUAGGAUAGGUGGGAGGCUUUGAAGUGUGGACGCCAGUCUGCAUGGAGCCGACCUUGAAAUACCACCCUUUAAUGUUUGAUGUUCUAACGUUGGCCCGUAAUCCGGGUUGCGGACAGUGUCUGGUGGGUAGUUUGACUGGGGCGGUCUCCUCCUAAAGAGUAACGGAGGAGCACGAAGGUUGGCUAAUCCUGGUCGGACAUCAGGAGGUUAGUGCAAUGGCAUAAGCCAGCUUGACUGCGAGCGUGACGGCGCGAGCAGGUGCGAAAGCAGGUCAUAGUGAUCCGGUGGUUCUGAAUGGAAGGGCCAUCGCUCAACGGAUAAAAGGUACUCCGGGGAUAACAGGCUGAUACCGCCCAAGAGUUCAUAUCGACGGCGGUGUUUGGCACCUCGAUGUCGGCUCAUCACAUCCUGGGGCUGAAGUAGGUCCCAAGGGUAUGGCUGUUCGCCAUUUAAAGUGGUACGCGAGCUGGGUUUAGAACGUCGUGAGACAGUUCGGUCCCUAUCUGCCGUGGGCGCUGGAGAACUGAGGGGGGCUGCUCCUAGUACGAGAGGACCGGAGUGGACGCAUCACUGGUGUUCGGGUUGUCAUGCCAAUGGCACUGCCCGGUAGCUAAAUGCGGAAGAGAUAAGUGCUGAAAGCAUCUAAGCACGAAACUUGCCCCGAGAUGAGUUCUCCCUGAGACUUAGAGUCUCCUGAAGGAACGUUGAAGACGACGACGUUGAUAGGCCGGGUGUGUAAGCGCAGCGAUGCGUUGAGCUAACCGGUACUAAUGAACCGUGAGGCUUAACCUU
rnacentral:rRNA from 1 species